rnacentral:miRNA from 1 species
UGUCCAGUAGCACCUUAGAGACCAAGUAAGUUUGUUCAUGGUAUAAGCUUUCGUGUGCAUGGUAUCUGAAGAAGUGUGCAUGCACACGAAAGCUUAUACCCAGAACAAACUUACUUGGUCUCUAAGGUGCUACUGGACA